rnacentral:rRNA from 1 species
UGGGGAAUCUUGGACAAUGGGCGGAAGCCUGAUGCAGCAACACCGUGUGGGCGAGGAAGGUCUUCGGAUCGUAAAGCCCUGUUGUUGGGGACGAAGGGCGAAGGGUUAAUAGCCCCUAGCCUGACGGUACCCUUCGAGGAAGCCCCGGCUAACUACGUGCCAGCAGCCGCGGUAAUACGUAGGGGGCGAGCGUUGUCCGGAAUUAUUGGGCGUAAAGAGCGUGUAGGCGGCCCGGUAAGUCCGCCGUGAAAACCUGGGGCUCAACCCUGGGCGUGCGGUGGAUACUGCUGGGCUAGAGGAUGGUAGAGGCGAGUGGAAUUCCCGGUGUAGCGGUGAAAUGCGCAGAGAUCGGGAGGAACACCGGUAGCGAAGGCGGCUCGCUGGGCCAUUCCUGACGCUGAGACGCGAAAGCGUGGGGAGCGAACAGGAUUAGAUACCCGCGUAGUCC